CUCAUUUAAGGGUUGGCAGUGGAGGUAAAGGGUACCUGGGUAUCUUGCUGGAAGUCCUUGCCUACUUGAGACCUUCCAAGGGAACUCCAGGCUGAUGUGGAGAAGGGCGGGGGAAAAUUGCCUCCCAGAUGAGGUAUAUUCAGCAAGAGCAGUCUCUCAGUUACAAGGAACUGCUUUAUCCAGAGAAAGCCUGAUGCAGUGUAGAGCAGCUCCCUGACCCUAAGAUACCAUAGGAACCUCUGAGGCUCCACACUGUCCACUGGAGAGAACCCUGGACCAACAGAUAAAGAGACAGAGAGCUUGGCUUUGAGCAUGUGCUUUGUAAGGAGGUACCUUUGGAGAGACCCGUGCUGAAGAAGAUUACUACUGUGAGAGAUGUUCUACAGACAAACGUAUUACAGGAAAUGGCUGGGAAGAGGUACAUACAAUGAUGCUGCAGAAUUUUAUUUCCCACAUGAGAAUCACAUGGCUUACAUUGGUUAGGUGUUUCCCGACACUGGGAGCUUUUUACAGGACUGCUCCUUUGUAGCUGUCUAAGCAGCAUCCAAAAACAUGGCACUUCCCUCUCAGAGGGGACCUCCGCAAAGCCCAUCUCUACAAAUGUGUUUUGAGGUUACUUGGGCCAGACUACAUGUGGAGAGCUAUAUGACUGCCAUGGUGUUAAAAUCCAAGCUGGUUUCAAUUUGUUCUCACUUAUGCAACUGGGAUGCAUCUCAGAAGCAUGUGACAACUCAUCCCAGAUGGACAAAAUGUGGUACCCAGGAAAGGAGUUUCCACAUUGCCCUCUGCGUGUGAGCUGACGGUGUUCUCUGUGUCAGGGUACAGCAGGAGGACCCUCACCCUGUGUCUUGCAGUAACUCUAUGGCCUGCUGCCCUCACUCUGAGUGGUGAGGAUGUGUGCUCUGUGUAUUGCAGGUUUCUGGUAGCAAAGGCUGCUUUUUCUGCCCUGUCCAGGCCUGCUAACGAGGUGCCUCUGACACCUGACAGGGCUUGCCUACUGAGAUGUGGAAGGAAACAGAGGGAACGGGAAAGCAAAGCAUCGUUUUGGGAGCAGGAGAACUUCUGAAACAUUAAUCUGGUGAAUAACUCCCUGCCAGCUGAAUUUCACUUAACCACUGAUCUGAAUCAUGUCACAGAUGGUAUCAUCUUCCAAAGUGUUAGCAAAACACAGGGCUCAACCUUCGGUGGCCGUGCAUUGCUAUUUCUGAUCCAGCACAACAACACGCCUGGAAAAGACAGAGCUUGUAAUAACUGCAGCUCAGGAAAGAAAAACAACAACACAACAUUUUGAAAUUGGAAUAUUUGGUUUGCAGUAGAAGAAUUGCCCUUUUUGCUCAAUGCAACAGUGAAGACGGGCUUGCAAGAUAAAGAGCAGCACACGCUCUGUGAGAUCUGCUGUGAUGCCCUUUAAUAAGUGUAAAAUCCCAUUCGGCAUUUCUAGGUGUGAGGCAGAAGUGCUGGGUGUGGUAAGUAGGAUUGGUGGUGACACAAGCAGAGACAGGAGGAAGAGAUGGCAUGCCAGCUGGGAGCCUCUGUGUGUGUGCUAUUUCGUGCCUGCAGGAAGAACUGAUGUUUGAAUCGUUGUUUAAAAUAUUAAAACCGGGGCUACCUGUUGUAAGGUUUGAUAAAUGGUAGUGUUCUCAGGCAUGUGAUUUCUGCUACUAGAAGCUACACCUCUAUUAUUUCACACUGAGGUCCUUUUGGCACCUGAACUUAGGUACAUGUCCUGGCUGCAUCCACUGUCACAGUGAGAAGUGACCAGUACUGCCCAUUCACACACCUCAGCACCAAGAUAUUAAAAGAAUAAUGUGGAAGGUUGCAAGAGCAAGGUAUCUAUGAAAUGAAGAACAUUAUAAGCAUCCUUCAGCCAGGCAUUUGCAGGUACCUGCUUCUCCUGUUCCCCAGCACCUGUCUAGAAAUCCCAGGGUGCAAAGCUCUUCAGUGGUGGCAGUUGGUAAGAGCCCUGCUCUGACCCUUUGGGUACUAACACGCUGGUCCCUUGUCAUCCCAGAGUGAAUAUCAAGCUGCCUUUUCUCAUCUGCAGUGAGCUAGUGGUAAAAAUGUGUGAGCUGCCUUAAGAACUCCAGCAUUAUAAUGGUGCUACAGAAGGAAUAAAGAGGGAAUUAACAGGGCCAGGGCAACCAGAUUUGAAUAGUGGUGGGUGAAAAAGACAGUACAAUGAAGGCAGGGAAGAUUUUGGCUUCCUCCUUUGUGAAUAUUUGAGAUGCUGAGGGCAAGGCAAAGCUAUGAUUCCUUGCAUCAUCUAACACCCCAGAGCCACUGGCAGGCUCACAGAACAGACUAAAUGGAUGUUCUUGCUACUGGUGUUUUUAUCAUCAGCAGCCUUACUCACUAAGCAAAUGAUAGAAAAAUGUAUCAUCCAAGGGACCGUGUCCACCCUCUGUUGCUACACAAUAUGGCUUUAAUUAUCCUCAAACGAUCUAAUGACAGAUUAGGGACUAGUCAGUGUCUUUUGAAGUCAACAAAAAGAUUCCUGUUGACUUGAGUGGGCUUUGGCUGAGAACCAUGAGCUGCAGGAGGAUGUUUGAACUGCCCGGCAUCUAUGAAGGGAUGGUUUUGCUCACUGGGAAGCCACUGGUGCUGGAGCCAGCAGAACUGAGUGCCCAAAGCUUCCAAAAUCAGGAGCAUGGAUUUAUCAAACCCUUCCUGCUAUGGGGUUCACCUUCACUCCUGGUCUGUAGAAGCAUUGCAUGCCCAUCUAUAGAUCCCACUGCUUACCCUUGCACCGUCCAACAGUCCUAGCACUAGUUAGAAUCUGGCCUCCUGUUUUCUUUUUUCCCCCAUCGCUUGUUCUAGAAUAAAUGGCAGUCCAUUCUGAUUUCUAAAACCAGUGAAGCUAUCAAAUCAGAUUCAAUUAAACUCUUUCCACCCCUUGCACAUGCCUGGAAAAAAAAAAAAAAAAGCUUCGGUUGUUGGAGUUUAGCUGACGAUGCUUUUGUGCAAGAAAGGAAAGGCUGCAGUGAGUUCUCUGUAACUGAAGCCAUAUGGGAUUGAGACUUGUUGAACCAAUAAUGAAACAUGCCUGUGUCACAGAGCAGUUUUGGUUCCAAGACAUACAAUGGGCUGUUUGCAAAAUCAUGUUGCUGGUUAAAGCCACAAUUUUAAGAUCGACAAAUAGUUUAGGGGUUGGGCUGCUUAGGAGGAUAUGGUCUAGCUGAUUGCUUGGGAAAGCUUUUAUAAAGCCCAAAUCAGCCUGAGGUUCUCUGUUGACUUGUUUUCACAAUAUAUAAUUAACAGCUGCACAGUGGUAAAUGUUUGCUAGCCAUUUAGGCAAGUUGCUUAAGACACGCCUAGAGAUAAGAAGGGCGAAAAUGAUUUUAACUUCCUAAUUCUCCAUCCAGCCUUCCCAACACAGACCUGGCAGUGGCACUGAGAAGCAAGUGAAUUGCUAAUGCAGAUUAAGUUGUCCUUCGAGGAGCUACUGCAAUUAAUCACCCAGUAACCCCUGAACAAAGAAGUAUUUCCAUGACACAUCAGUGUUUCCAGAUUUGGAAAGGGCUUGAUAAGUGCUUAACUGAACUCUCACAGUGAGGGGGAAAAGCAUGUCGCUUCUGGAGAAGGGCCUGGAACAGAUAAAGGGGAAAACAACUUCCCUGUCCUGCCUGCUGGGUAAGCAACCUGCCUACUCAAGAGUAGCUUUUAUUUUUGUUGGCUUUUUUAUCUUAUGUCAUUCAGGUGUUUGGCAGUGAAAAAGGAGGUUGGAGGAAGUCGGAAGUGUUUCAGCCUCUUCUUGAAGCUUUCUGAUGCCUGGAAGCCUCCUCACUUCCACCUGGCAUCUUUCACCGCUGCCCAUAGCCACCUGAGCUUCGUCUAUGUUACAAUAUCAGGCAUGAGCUGUGCUCCAGCACACGCUGACGGGAAUAGUCCGAGAAGACUGGCUACAGAAGGCAUUACCUGCCAUGUAAGGCUCUUGUUACUAAAGAGUGUGCCCAGAUUGUCUGAAGGGGUCAUGAACACCAGCUCCGGCCUAAUCUUCUAAUUAACUCCCGUUAACGUAAGUGCACUUGAGAAGAUUCUUUUAGCGGCGCUACUCAAGAAAUUAGAAGUCCUCUCUCAAGGAGAUAGAGCGUUUCUUCUUUCAUAGUUCAGCAGGACAACACUGUCUUGCUGCAUGAGAAGGAUUUGCCUCAUCCUGUGGUGCUCAUUUCUCAUCCCUGAAUUACAGUUUAUUUUAAAUCAACUCAGGAUAGUAGGUGGCGGCUCAGUGUAUAUUAUUUGCUACAUUUUAGCCUUGCAUAGGCAGAGGCCUCCUGGCUUAUUGGUUCUCUUAUUUUUAUGCCUUGGAAAAGCCUAAAGAUUGGUGUGCAUGCCUUGCAAUGAUAUGUAAGGCUCUGGGACCUACUAGAGAAACAUGCUGCUGCUGCUGCUUCUCCUUUAACCCAACGCGGCCUCAUCGCAUGGAUGUCCAGCUCAUUGCAGUCAAGGUUAGAAAGGGAUUUGAGCCUCUUUCUGAUGUGGAAAGAAAGUAGUCCCACAGGUAGAAGCACAAAGAACAGCUGAGCUCAGGCUGACCUCAGGAAAAAAACAAAGCAAGUUUCCACAAUGGAGUGUAGGUGGACUGCAUCGGGAGAGCGAAUGUGGAGCAGGAUGAGAAUUGUACCUGCUUGUGCUAUAAGCAGAGACUCUGCAGCUCUCCCGGCAUCAAUUUUGCCUAGGAGAAUCCAUCUGAAAACAAACAAAUACCAACAGAAGUGCUUCUAUUGUUUUCUUUCUCUGUCGGUAAUAAAAACUAUUCCUUUAAAAAAAGAGCAAUAUCCUCCCCUAUGAUUUUAGCAGUCACAACACAGAAAUGGAGAAAACCUGAAAGCACAAUUGACUCCUUUUGAUUUUUCCUAUUUCAAGAGAGGAGACGUGCCAGCGGGAAAGAGAACAAAAAUCACGCUGAGUAAAUCUGGAAUUUAAACUGCCACCGAUGAUCAACAGCAACCAUCCAAAUAUUUAUUUCUUCUUCUACAGUUUCUUUCUGCUUAAGCUGAUUAGCAGAUCUUUAACUCGAUAUUCAGUCACCGUUACAUAAAAAACAUGUAUCUUUUAGGUCGUUUCUUUAAUUAUUCACUUCUGCAGGAAUUCAGAUGGUGAGAUUUGGGGGAUAAUUUAGUCACGUACCGCCUUAGCAUGCAGCUUCUCUUCAAUAAUUUGUUGAUUAGUCAUCUCCAUUUGGUACUAGAGAUCAAGCCCUCCUUGCACUAGACUUGACAGGAAAAUGUCCAACGGUUUGAGCAGGGUGUUGGUUUUAUCCCUACUGCACGUACCGUAGCAGAGGUGUCACAACAUCUAGUGCCGGAUCUCUAAUACCUAGACAGUGCUUUGAAAUAUGGCUCUGUGUAUGGGAUACAGUCACAGUUUCAAGGAAGAAACAAGGGAGGGACUGCAGCUCUGCUGCUGGAAGCAUACAAGCGAGGCAUGAAGCAGAGAGAUACCUCCCUUACUGCUUAGCAGGCUAGAUAAGUUUCUGUGUGUGGUUUGCUUGUGUGGCAUUGGUGACAUUGUGUGCAAGCUGCAGCCACUCACAGGUUUCUGCAACCUUUCCAGUUAUAAUGGCUGCAGACCACCAUAAAUGUUUCUGCAGGCAAGCUUCUAAGGUCAUGCUGCUGAACCUCCAUAUAUGCACUGAACUAUCAUGAUACAUGGGUUUGGGAUUUUUUCACUCCUUGUGUGUUUAGUGCUCUAAAAUUCCAGUUCAACAAGAGCUCAGCAUGUAAUAUAAAGCAGCUGUUUAUGGGUGCUUAAGUACAGAGUUAAGAACCAAACUUCAGGCAGCCAGAUUUGAAAAGUGUAGUAAGUCCUUAAAUGAUGUGCUCUGCUGAAAGGAGCCUACUCUAAAAAUGCUCAUGAAGUGUGAGGGUUUAUGAUGGGAAGGAACCUGUAGCAAGCAGCGUGUGUGCUUCCCACUUUUCCUAGGUUUCAUUAUGCCUGCCUGCCUCACAGAACAGCUGUAACAUUAAACCCAUUGAAAUUUGCAAAGUGCUUAGAGAUCCACCGAAGGGAGGCAGGACAGAAGUAAAAGGUACUCAAUUUUCAUCGCAUUUUAUCAGGCAAGAGAGUUCCCAGAAUGUCUUUGUAACAAAUAAGAAUAAAUAGCUGCAAAUGUAAAAUGUAUCCUGCGCUCACUAAUAGGUAUCUUUCGGGCAGUGGUUGAGGAGAAUCUCUACUUAAGAACAGCGUAGAUUUGAAGACUUGAAUUCAUAUUUCAAUACCUUUCUUAGGGCCAUAACUUUAUGCACUUCACUAGUGCAUGAGUACUAUCCAAAUCUACUGGCAUUUGAGUAGU